rnacentral:rRNA from 1 species
GAGCGCAGCACAUUUUGCGAUCGUAAGCCGUUGUGACAGCAUCCAUGAGAUUUAUUUACCACGUUUGACCUCGGAUCAGGUAGGGAUACCCGCUGAACUUAAGCAUAUCAAUAAG